AGUCGGUGAUCUUCAGGACAAAGCGAUUGUCCACGACGCAGUUGGACGACUUGAGUUUACCGUGAGAGAGGAUAACGCUGUUGUGGAGGAAGACCAUGCCCUGAGAGAGAGACGGCGGUAACAGUGACGCCCCCUAGUGGCGGCAGACGCCGGCGCUCUGACCUGUAGACGAAGACGGUGACGGUGAGCGUCAUGGUGAAGAUGAAGAAGAGCACGAUGGAAACCAUCUGGUGGAUCGUGAUCGUUUCUGACGCACAGGAGAAGAAGAAGGAACGGAUGAGAAAACCUCUGACAUGAAUUUUAUACUCAACACACGACAGAAGUGAGAGGAAACUCGAGGCCUCUCGCGUCACUGACUCGCGACGCAGACGGGGUUUUCAUUCUUGAAGCCGCAGACGGGAACGUCGGGGGGACGAGCUCCGCCCGGCCAGUGGAGCGUGGUCCCAGCUGGAACCUGUUGCCUGGUAACCAGUAUCACCUCAUCCCGGGUUCCUGCUCAUUACAGCAGCGUCUGUGAUCUGUAAUCGCAACAUCGACGCGGAGCGACGGGAGGCGUGAAUACGUAGAGAAGCCAAACCUCCAGAGACGAGGCUAAUCUACGGCAGCCAGCAGGACAC